rnacentral:rRNA from 1 species
AACGAACGCUGGCGGCAGGCCUAACACAUGCAAGUCGAGCGAGGACUUCGGUCCUAGCGGCGGACGGGUGAGUAACGCGUGGGAACGUGCCCUUUGGUUCGGAAUAGCCCUGGGAAACUGGGAGUAAUACCGGAUAAGCCCUACGGGGGAAAGAUUUAUUGCCGAAGGAUCGGCCCGCGUUGGAUUAGGUAGUUGGUGGGGUAAUGGCCUACCAAGCCGACGAUCCAUAGCUGGUUUGAGAGGAUGAUCAGCCACACUGGGACUGAGACACGGCCCAGACUCCUACGGGAGGCAGCAGUGGGGAAUCUUAGACAAUGGGGGAAACCCUGAUCUAGCCAUGCCGCGUGAGCGAUGAAGGCCUUAGGGUUGUAAAGCUCUUUCACCGAUGAAGAUAAUGACGGUAGUCGGAGAAGAAGCCCCGGCUAACUUCGUGCCAGCAGCCGCCGUAACAC